rnacentral:rRNA from 1 species
CAAUAGCGUAUAUUAAAGUUGUUGCGGUUAAAAAGCUCGUAGUUGGAUUUCUGUUGAGGACGGCCGGUCCGCACUAUGUGCGUGUAUCUGGUUCGGCCUUGGCAUCCUCUUGAGGAACGUAUCUGCGCUUGAUUGCGUGGAGCGGUAUUCAAGACUUUUACUUUGAGGAAAUUAGAGUGUUCACGGCAGGCAAGCGCCUUGAAUACGUUAGCAUGGAAUGAUAAUAUAGGAUCUUGGUUCUAUUUUGUUGGUUUCUAGAGCUAAGGUAAUGAUUAAUAGGGAUAAUUGGGGGCAUUUGUAUUAACGCGUCAGAGGUGGAAUUCUUGGAUUGCGUUACGACAAACUACUGCGAAAGCAUUUGCCAAGGAUGUUUUCAUUGA